rfam:Medicago truncatula strain A17 chromosome 6, whole genome shotgun sequence.
AAACAGCCCCCUAUGUUUUGAUUCUUUGGCAAUUUUGGACCCCCAAGGCAAAUAAAAAAUAAAAAAAUUGACACGUGGCACCUCACUUAGGGUGCCACGUCAGCGUUGACCGAGUCAACAAUGGACUGAGAGUCCAAAACUGCCAAAGAAUCAAAACAUAGGGGGCUGUUU